rnacentral:rRNA from 1 species
GGUUACUGCUAUCGGUGUUCGCCUAAGCCAUGCGAGUCAUAUGUUCGUAAGAACAUGGCGUACUGCUCAGUAACACGUGGAUAACCUGCCCUUGGGUCCGGCAUAACCCCGGGAAACUGGGGAUAAUUCCGGAUAACGCACAUAUGCUGGAAUGCUUUAUGCGUAAAAUGGAUUCGUCUGCCCAAGGAUGGGUCUGCGGCCUAUCAGGUAGUAGUGGGUGUAAUGUACCUACUAGCCUACGACGGGUACGGGUUGCGAGAGCAAGAGCCCGGAGAUGGAUUCUGAGACAUGAAUCCAGGCCCUACGGGGCGCAGCAGGCGCGAAAACUUUACAAUGCGGGAAACCGUGAUAAGGGGACACCGAGUGCCAGCAUCCUAUGCUGGCUGUCCGGGUGUGUAAAAUACACCUGUUAGCAAGGGCCGGGCAAGACCGGUGCCAGCCGCCGCGGUAACACCGGCGGCCCGAGUGGUGAUCGUGAUUAUUGGGUCUAAAGGGUCCGUAGCCGGUUUGGUCAGUCCUCCGGGAAAUCUGACGGCUUAACCGUUAGGCUUUCGGGGGAUACUGCCAGACUUGGAACCGGGAGAGGUAAGAGGUACUACAGGGGUAGGAGUGAAAUCUUGUAAUCCCUGUGGGACCACCUGUGGCGAAGGCGUCUUACCAGAACGGGUUCGACGGUGAGGGACGAAAGCUGGGGGCACGAACCGGAUUAGAUACCCGGGUAGUCCCAGCCGUAAACGAUGCUCGCUAGGUGUCAGGCAUGGCGCGACCGUGUCUGGUGCCGCAGGGAAGCCGUGAAGCGA